rnacentral:rRNA from 1 species
GGGGGGGGGGGGGGGGGGGGGUGGGGGGGGGGGGGCGGGCGGGGGGGCGGCGGGGGGGGUGCUCGGGGGGCGCGCGGGUGCGGAGCACGGGGGUAACCGGCCCUUGGCUUCGGGAUAGCGUCAGGCACCUGGGGCUACUGCCGGAUCGGGAUCCCUGCUGCAUGGGGGGGGUUUGAAAUCUUCGGCGGUGUUGGCUUGACUCGCGGCUUAUCCGCUUGUUGGUGGGGUAGUGGCUUCCCAAGGCUUUGACGGGGAGCCGGCCUGAGAGGGCGACCGGCCACAUUGGGACUGAGAUACGGCCAAGACUCCUACGGGAGGCAGCAGUGGGGAAUAGUGCACAAGGGGCGGAAGCCUGAUGCAGCAACGCCGCGUGCGGGAUGACGGCCUUCGGGUUGGAAACCGCUUUCAGCAGGGGCGAAGCUUGUGGUGACGGUACCUGCAGAAGAAGCACCGGCUAACUACGUG